rnacentral:rRNA from 1 species
CGCGGCCUAUCAGCUUGUUGGUGAGGUAAUGGCUCACCAAGGCUUCGACGGGUAGCCGGCCUGAGAGGGCGACCGGCCACACUGGGACUGAGAUACGGCCCAGACUCCUACGGGAGGCAGCAGUGGGGAAUAUUGCACAAUGGGCGCAAGCCUGAUGCAGCAACGCCGCGUGCGGGAUGACGGCCUUCGGGUUGUAAACCGCUUUCAGUAGGGACGAAGCUAACGUGACGGUACCUACAGAAGAAGGACCGGCUAACUACGUGCCAGCAGCCGCGGUGAUACGUAGGGUCCGAGCGUUGUCCGGAAUUAUUGGGCGUAAAGGGCUUGUAGGCGGUCCGUCGCGUCAGGAGUGAAAACUCGGGGCUUAACCCCGAGCCUGCUUUUGAUACGGGCGGACUAGAGGGAUGCAGGGGAGAACGGAAUUCCUGGUGGAGCGGUGGAAUGCGCAGAUAUCAGGAGGAACACCGGUGGCGAAGGCGGUUCUCUGGGCAUCACCUGACGCUGAGAAGCGAAAGCAUGGGGAGCAAACAGGCUUAGAUACCCUGGUAGUCCACGCCGUAAACAGUGGGCACUAGGUGUGGGGGACAUUCCACGUUCUCCGUGCCGAAGCUAACGCAUUAAGUGCCCCGCCUGGGGAGUACGG